AUUGAACGCUGGCGGCAGGCCUAACACAUGCAAGUCGAGCGGAUGAAGGGAGCUUGCUCCUGGAUUCAGCGGCGGACGGGUGAGUAAUGCCUAGGAAUCUGCCUGGUAGUGGGGGAUAACGUCCGGAAACGGGCGCUAAUACCGCAUACGUCCUGAGGGAGAAAGUGGGGGAUCUUCGGACCUCACGCUAUCAGAUGAGCCUAGGUCGGAUUAGCUAGUUGGUGGGGUAAAGGCCUACCAAGGCGACGAUCCGUAACUGGUCUGAGAGGAUGAUCAGUCACACUGGAACUGAGACACGGUCCAGACUCCUACGGGAGGCAGCAGUGGGGAAUAUUGGACAAUGGGCGAAAGCCUGAUCCAGCCAUGCCGCGUGUGUGAAGAAGGUCUUCGGAUCGUAAAGCACUGUAAGUUGGGAGGAAGGGCAGUAAGUUAAUACCUGGCUGUCUUGACGUUACCAACAGAAUAAGCACCGGCUAACUUCGUG
rnacentral:rRNA from 1 species